UGGAAGAAAGGGAGCAACGAGAAAGAAGUGGAAAGUGGUUAGAGUCGCGGAGAGGGAAGUCCACGUAGUUACCAUGCAGACGUUCGUACCUUACAAACUACACGAAAAACCGCCAAAAUCCACGCCGUUAAUGAGGCAAUAGGUGGUUUGGUAGAGAACACGGUACGAAAAUGGGGAAAUACUUGACUUCACUGCUCGUGCUGCUCCUGCAGCUCCUCUGCGGCUGCACAGGGAACCAAAGGACGGAGAAGGCAUUGGCCCUGCAGUUCACUCACUCUGUUUACAAUGCCACCAUAUAUGAGAACUCUGCUGCUAAGACCUACUUGGAGAGUCAUGCCAAGAUGGGCAUCUACAUCACAGACCCCACCUGGGAGAUACGGUACAAAAUAGUGUCAGGAGACAAUGAGAACCUUUUCAAAGCAGAGGACUACAUCCUGGGAGACUUUAGCUUCCUGAGAAUAAGGACCAAAGGAGGCAGCACUGCCAUUCUGAACCGGGAGGUCAAAGACCACUACUUGCUCACUGUCAAAGCUGUGGAGAGGGGCACCAACGUGGAGGCUCGCGCCCGAGUCCAGGUCCAGGUUCAGGACACCAACGACCUGAGGCCUCUGUUCUCUCCCACCUCCUACAGCGUCUCGCUGCUCGAGAACACGGCCCUACGGACCAGCGUGGCCAAGGUCACCGCCACGGACGCCGACAUCGGGACCAACGGGGAGUACUACUACAGCUUCCGGGAGUGGACAGAUGUGUUCGCCGUUCAUCCCACAAGCGGGGUGGUGACGCUGACGGGCAAGCUUGAUCACGCUGAGACCCAGCUGUAUGACCUGGAGAUCCUGGCCGUGGACCGAGGCAUGAAGCUCUACGGGAGCAGCGGCUUCAGUAGCAUGGCCAAGCUGACGGUGAGGGUGGAGCAGGCCAAUGAGCACGCGCCUGUCAUCGCCGCAGUCACCCUGGCACCCUCGGGCGCUGACCGCGACCCCACCUACGCCAUAGUGACCGUCGAGGACAGCGACCAGGGACCAAAUGGGGAGAUCGCGUCGUUGAGCGUGGUGGCGGGCGACCCCCUUCAGCAGUUUAAGGCCAUGAGAACUAGUCCCGGGAGCAAGGAGUACAAAAUCAAAGCGGUCAAGGAUGUAGACUGGGACACCCAGCCUUUCGGAUACAACCUCACGUUACAGGCCAAGGACAAAGGAAGCCCCCCCCAAUUUUCUUCAGCGAAAGUGGUACAUGUAACAUCCCCUCAGUUUAAAGUGGGCCCCCCUAAAUUUGAACACGCUGUUUAUAGGGUCAAUCUCAGUGAGUUUGCCCCUCUCCAUACACCUGUUGCUAUGGUAACUGCAUUGCCAAAGUAUCCACAGUUGAAGUAUGCUUUCAGAUAUAAAACAGAGAAGAAUCGUUUUGCUAUUAAUCCAGACACUGGCUUAAUUACCACAACUGGACCCAUCUAUGCGGAUUAUGCCCCUAAAUUUGAACUAGAAGUUAUUACCAGUGACAAAAAGGCUGCGACCAAGGUUAUCAUUGACAUUAUAGAUGUUAACAAUAAUGCUCCUGAGUUCCAACAGACCUCUUACAAGGCCACCGUUGAUGAGAAUGUACCCGUAGGGUCCAACGUGUUAGCAGUGAAAGCCACGGAUCUAGACAGUGGAGAGAACGGGUAUGUGACCUACAGCAUUGCCAACGUGAGCCCGCAGCCGUUUGUCAUCGACUACUUCUCUGGUGUCAUCAGCACCUCAGAAGAGCUGGAUUACGAGCUGAUGCCAAGGAUUUACAAUCUCAAAAUUAGGGCUUCAGACUGGGGUUCCCCUUUCCGACGGGAGGUGGAGGCAUCAGUUACUGUCACACUGAAUAACCUGAAUGACAAUAAGCCUCUAUUCGAAAAUGUCGACUGUGAAGUCACGGUGCCUAGAGACCAUGGUGUGGGAGAGCAGAUAACGACGGUGUCUGCAAUUGACGCUGACGAAUUGCAGCUAGUGCGGUACGACAUAAAAACUGGGAAUGAUCUUGAUCUCUUUGAGUUGAACUCCAACUCGGGUGUGCUUUCUUUGAAACGAACACUGAGCGAGGGGGAGGCAGGUAAAGUGUCCUUCCAUAGCUUACAGAUCAGAGCCAGUGAUGGAGAGCAUGAGACUGAACCAAUGAUAAUGAAUAUCACUGUCAUCACAGCUCGCAAGCCUGUCCAACUGAAGUGCGUCGACACUGGGGUUGCUACCAUGUUGGCAGAAAAGCUUCUUCAUGGCACUAAGAUCCACACCCCAACUGAGCCUGACGGUAACUUAAUGGACAUCCAUACGGUUAACCGCUACUCCCCUCAGUUUGCAGAGUCCUUCCCCAGUGUCAUUGAGGUCAAAGAGGACCUUCCGGUUGGGGCUAGGGUAGUCCAUCUAAGCGCCUCCGACACAGACAGUGGUUUUAACGGAAAACUGGUGUACGUUAUUUCAGGAGGAGAUACAGAGAGUCGUUUCAUUGUAGACAUGAACACCGGUUGGCUUUUGGUUCACACGCCACUGGACAGGGAAACGACGGACCACUACACACUGAAUGUCACGGUCUACGAUCUGGGAAUACCGCAGAAGUCCUCCUCGCGUCUUUUGGAUGUUAAGAUCUUGGAUGCUAACGAUAACAGUCCACAGUUCCUGCAAGACUCCUAUUCGGUGGAAAUAAGUGAAAAAACACCAGUGGGGACUGAAAUCGUCCAGGUGGAUUCCACCGAUAAGGACCAGGGAGAUAACGGAGUAAUCAGGUAUUCGAUUGUGGCCGACACUGACCAGUUUGCCAUUGACGAGCUGACUGGAGUAGUGACAGUGAAAAAGCAGCUGGAUCGCGAGGUGCAUCCGGUUUACAUUCUGAAGAUCGCUGCGUGUGACCAGGCGGUUAAUGAUCCUCAACUCGUGUCUACAGUGUUGCUGAAGGUCGUUCUUGAGGACGUCAAUGACAAUCCUCCCAAAUUUAUCCCGUCAAAUUACCGGGUGAAGGUGAGGGAGGACCUCCCGGUCGGCACUGUGAUUAUGUGGCUGGAGGCUCACGACCCGGAUGUCGGGCUGUCCAGUCAGGUACGGUACAGCCUCAGCGAUAACGGGGACGGCAACUUCGAGGUGGACAAACUCAGUGGCGCGGUGCGCAUCCUGCAGACUCUGGAUUACGAGAAGAAGCAGGUGUACAACCUCACGGCGAAAGCCAAGGACAAAGGGAAGCCCGUGUCUUUAUCGUCGACGUGCUUCAUUGAGGUGGAUGUAGUGGACGUAAACGAGAAUCUGUAUCGCCCGUGGUUCCCCUCGUUUGUGGAUAAGGGAUUUAUAAAAGAGGACGCCCUCAUUGGGACAUCCGUAAUGAAAGUAACGGCUCAAGACGAAGACAAAGGAAGAGACGGAGAAAUACGCUACUCAAUACGGGACGGCUCUGGUUUAGGGAUAUUCACCAUUGAUGAAGAGACUGGGGUCAUCAGAACCCAGGAACUCCUGGACCAUGAGACCACCCCGCACUACUGGCUGACUGUGUACGGCACGGAUGGUGGCGUGGUGCCCCUCUCGGCCUUCGUUGAGGUCUACGUGGAGGUCCAGGACGUCAACGACAACGCGCCGCAGACCACAGAGCCCGUCUACUACCCGUCGGUGGCGGAAAACUCGCCCAAGGACGUGUCCAUCAUCCAGAUCGAGGCGGUGGACCCGGACGCCAGGGCCAGCGACAAGCUCUCUUACAAGAUCACCAGUGGCAACCCCCAGGGAUUUUUCGCCAUCAACUCCAAGAUGGGUCUACUCACAACUACCUCGAGGAAGCUGGACCGAGAACAGCAGGACGAGCACAUUCUUGAGAUCACCGUCACCGACCACGGGGUUCCCGCCAAAUCCACCACGGUCCGCGUCAUCGUCAAAGUCCUGGACGAGAACGACAACCGGCCGCAGUUCCUGGAGAAGAUCUACAAGAUCAAGCUUCCGGAACGGGAGAAACCAGAAAAGGACCGGGCUCUGAAGCGGGAUCCUGUGUACCGGGUGAUCGCCUCGGACCGCGACGAGGGGGCCAACUCUGAGAUCUCGUAUUCCAUCGAGGAGGGAGAUGAGCAUGGGAAGUUCUUCAUCGAGCCAAAGACGGGUCUGGUGUCGUCCAAGAAGUUCUCCUCUGCCGGGGAGUAUGACAUCCUCACCAUCAAAGCGGUGGACAACGGACGCCCCCAGAAGUCGUCCACCUGCCGGCUGCACAUCGAGUGGAUCCCCAAGCCAGAGGUGGCGGCCGGCGCGCGCCCCCUGGCCUUCGAGGAGCCCCCCUUCUUCUUCUCGGUGAUGGAGAGCGACCCCGUGGCGCACAUGGUGGGGGUCAUCACCACGGAGACGUCGGACACGCCCGUCUGGUUCGAAAUCACAGAAGGAGACAUAGAGGAAGUCUUUUACAUCGUUCAGAUGGCUUGCGACCUCAACUGUACAGCGGAAGGUGGGAACUACGACAGCCGCUUUGACGUGGGCAAAGCCAGUGGGACCCUGAUCGUGGCGAGGCCCCUCGACGCCGAGCAGAAAUCCAAUUACAACCUGACAGUGGAGGCAACGGACGGCACCCGAUUCGUCAGCACCCGGGUGCUGAUCCGUGUCAUCGACACCAACAACCACCGGCCCCAGUUCUCCCAGCCGCGCUACGAGGUGGUUGUGGCCGAGGACACGCCGCCAGAGACCGAGGUGCUCCGGAUCGGCGCCACGGACGAAGACGAUAAGAACAAGUUGACCUUUACCCUCUUGAGCAGCACCGACCCCUUCAGCCUGAAGAAGUUCCGUCUGGACCCGGGAACCGGUGCCCUCUACACGGCCGAGCGGCUGGACCACGAGACCAUGCGGCGCCACACACUCACAGUCAUGGUACGUGACCAGGACAUCCCUGUCAAGAGGAACCUGGUGCGCGUCAUCGUGGACGUGGAGGACACCAACGACAACGCGCCGUGGUUCGCGGGGUCGCCCUACUCCGGGCGCGUCUUCGAGUCGGCCGCCUUGGGCUCGGCAGUCCUCCAGGUCGCCGCCCUGGACAAAGACAAGGGACAGAAUGCAGAGAUCAUCUACAGCAUCGAGUCAGGAAAUGUUGCGAACUCAUUUGCCAUUGAUCCGGUGCUGGGCACUGUUACCGUGGCCAAGGAGCUGGACCGAAGCAGCAAGAACCAGUUUGAACUAGCUGUGAAGGCAACCGACAAAGGAACGCCCUCGCUGACUGCCACGGCCACCAUCCACAUCGCUGUCACCAUGUCGGACAAUGCCUCCCCCAGAUUCACUGAGAAGGAGUUCACUGCAGAGGUCAGCGAAUUGGUCCUCCCCGGCAGUUUUGUGACCAUGGUCUCAGCCACCAGCCAGUCCUCUGUGUUCUACCAAAUCAAAGGUGGAAACACUGACGGCACAUUUGAUGUAAACCCAAACUCCGGUGUGGUUGUAACUUCAAGGGCUUUGGACUAUGAAAUGACCCCUGAGUACAGACUUACCAUCCAGGGAACCAACAUGGCAGGUCUUGCUAGCAACACCACUCUGCUGAUUCACCUGAAGGACGAGAAUGAUAAUGCCCCCAUCUUCCUCCAGCCAGAGUUCACAGGCAUGAUUAGCGAAUCGGCUCCCAUCAACAGUGUGGUCUUGACCAGAGAAAACACCCCGCUGGUCAUCCGCGCCUCGGACACUGACCGCGAUGCCAACGCCAUGCUGGUCUAUCAGAUCGUCGAGCCGUUCGCUCACAACUACUUUUCUAUCGAUUCGAGUACGGGAGCCAUUAGAAUGACAACCACUCUGGAUUUUGAACAAAGGAGUGUGUUCUGCUUCACCAUUCAGGUUCAUGACCUCGGAAUGCCGCGUCUGUUCGCCGAGACAGCCGCCAACGUGACCGUCGAAGUCAUCGACGUCAACGACUGCUCGCCGCAGUUCAGCCAGGAGCUCUACGAGACAUCAGUGAUCGUGCCGACUUACAAAGGUGUCGAGGUAAUCAAAGUCAAAGCAUCAGACGCCGACUCCGGACCAAACUCCAAACUCUUCUUCUCCAUCUCAGAGGGGAACAUCGGGGAGAAAUUCAAGAUGGAUCCCAACACAGGCAUCAUCACUAUCCAGAACGUCACACAGCUAAGAAGCAGGUACGAGCUGAGGGUGAGGGUCUCGGACGGCAGGUUUGCCAACACAGCGUCGGUAAAGAUCAACAUCCGUGAGAACAAGGAGAGCAGCCUGAAGUUCACUAGGGACUCCUACAAGGCUUACGUCAAAGAGAACUCCUCUGAGAAGAAAACAUUAGCGGUCAUUGCCUCUGUGGGGAACCACGUCAACGAACCCCUCUUCUACACCAUCCUGAACCCAGACAAGAGGUUCCAAAUCAGCCACACUUCUGGAGUGCUCUCCACCACGGGGAUACCUUUCGAUCGUGAGGCGCAGGACAUGUUCAACAUCGUCGUGGAGGUGACCAGGAUGGACGCUUCCUCCGAAGUGGCCCAUGUUCUGGUGAUGGUGACCGUAGAAGAUGUGAACGACAACCAGCCCAUGUUUGUCAACCUGCCCUAUCAAGCCUUGGUCCAGGUGGACGCAGAGGAGGGUCAGGCCAUCCACCAGGUGACAGCGGUGGACGGGGACAUGGGUCAAAACGCAGAAAUCCAUUACCACCUGAAAGAACACCACAAGCACUUCCAGAUAAGCCCCUCGGGAGAAAUCUCCCUCAAAAAGCAGUUAGACAAAGACUCCCUCAACAGUGAGUUCGUCAUCAGCGUUGUGGCCAAAGAUGCAGGAGAACCAGCCCUCUCGGCAGAAGUGGAAGUGCCCAUAACUAUAGUAAACAAAGCCAUGCCAGUGUUUGAGAAGCCAUUCUACAGCAUCGAAAUCCCUGAAAAUAUCCAGUUACACACACCUGUUGUUCACGUCCAGGCUACUGACUCUGAAGGCCCCAAGAUAGUGUACACCAUCUCUGAGGGAGAUGCCUUCAGUCAGUUUUCCAUCAAUUUCAACACAGGUGUCAUUCAUGUAAUCCAACCUCUGGAUUUUGAGACCCACCCCGCUUAUAAAUUGAGUGUCAGAGCCACAGACUCACUAACUGGGGCCCACGCUGAUGUCUUUGUCGAUAUCAUUCUGGAAGAUGUCAACGACAAUCCCCCUGUCUUCCAACUAAAGUCCUACAACGCAAGUGUUUCUGAAGCUUCUUUUAUCGGCACGGCAGUUUUGCAAGUCGCCGCCACAGACCCUGACACUGGCAACAACAAAAUGCUCUUCUACCAGCUAGUUGAGGACAUGGAAAAGAGCUCCGACUACUUCAGCGUUGACCGUGACUCAGGAAUCAUCUGGACUGCUCGCAUGCUCGACCAGGAGGAAAAGCAGCAACACAAACUGACUGUCCGCGCUGUGGACGGAGGAGUGCCCGCCCUCUCCAGCGAUGUCACUGUGACCGUAGAUGUCACUGACCUGAAUGACAAUGCUCCGACAUUCACUGAGAGCUCUUACAAAGCCACGGUCAGCGAAUUGGCCCCCCGCGGUCACUUCGUCACCCAUGUCCAGGCGUCCGACGCCGACAGCUCAGACGCCGGCAGGCUUGAGUUCUCCAUCCUGUCUGGCAAUAAGGACCAGAACUUUGCCAUGGAUAAAAAUACUGGGGCCAUCGUCAUCUCCAACCACCGUAAGCCACAGAUGGAGCCACUGUACAACCUCAACGUGUCUGUGUCAGACGGUGUAUUCAGGAACUCGGCCAUGGUCAAAGUCACAGUCAACGGUGCCAACUUCCACAACCCCACUUUCCCCCAGCUCGACUAUGUGGUUGAACUCACAGAGAACUCGCCGGUCGGCACGUUAGUGGCGGAGGCAAAAGCCACAGAUGAAGACGCUGGCACAUACGGGCACCUAACUUACCACAUUGUCAACAAUUUUGCCAAGGACAAGUUCUCAGUCAAUGAAAAUGGAGAGAUAUUCACCCUUGACAUCCUGGACCGCGAGAACGCCAUUGAGAAGGUCAUCCCCAUAUCGCUCAUGGCAAAGGACGGUGGCGGAAAAGUAGGCUUCUGCAUUAUUAAUGUGAUUUUGACAGAUAUCAACGACAAUGCCCCACAAUUCAGGGCAGUGGAGUACAAAGCCAAUGUUGCAUCGGAUGUCCCCAGGGGAACCACCGUGGUAAAAAUAGCUGCGUCAGACAUGGACGAGGGAAGCAACGCUGACAUCGCUUACACCAUGGAAGCCGACAUGGAAAACGUGGAAGAGAACUUCGAAAUCCAUCCCUUCAGUGGAGUCAUUGUCACCAAAGAGAGUCUCAUCGGACUUGAAAACGACCUCUACGCUUUCUACGUUAGGGCAAAGGAUGCUGGGAGUCCUUCCAAGCAAUCUGUCGUUCGCGUUUACAUCAGGAUAGUGGCCCCUGAGGUACCGGUCCCCAAGUUCGCAGAGCCACACUACCGGUUCACCAUCGCCGAAGACAUGCCCAUCGGCACGGAUAUUGACGUCAUCCAGGCGGAGAGUGAAGAACCGGUGUUCUACAGCCUAGUGAAGGGCAACACCCCGGAGAGUAACCGUGAUGAGGUCUUCGUGGUGGAUCGGGACACCGGGGCCCUGAAGCUGGAGAAGAGAAUGGACCACGAGACCACCAAGUGGUACCAGCUCACGUUGCAAGCCCAGAGCCAACAGGAGGGCUACGAAACUGUGGCGUCUGUCGACGUCAACAUCCAGGUCAAGGACCUCAACGACAACAAGCCUGUGUUUGAGUCAGACCCAUAUGAGGCGGUCGUGGUGGAGAACCUUCCAGAUGGCACGCCGGUGAUCCAGGUCAAAGCCACCGACCAGGACUCAGGCACCAAUGGUCAAGUGAUCUACAGCCUGGACCCCAAACAAACCUCAGCUGAGAUCUCGGAGCUGUUUGCCGUCAACAGUGAGACAGGCUGGGUGACGACAUUGAAAGAGCUUGACCGUGAGAAGACCAGCAAGUACACCAUUGCCGUGCUGGCCACCGACCGCGGAGACAAGGUGCAGCUGGUGACCAGCACCACCGUGGAGGUUACCGUGGCCGACGUCAAUGAUAACCCACCGCGCUUCACCGCCGAGAUCUACAAGGGCACGGUGAGCGAAGACGACCUUCCGCCCAGUGGAGUCAUUGCCAUCCUGAGCACCACGGACGCCGACACGGAGGAGAUCAACAAACAAGUCAACUACUUUAUCACAGGAGGAGACCCUCUAGGACAGUUUGCGAUCGAGCACCUCCAGAACGAGUGGAAAGUGUCUGUCAGGAAACCACUGGACCGCGAGGAGCGUGACAACUACCUCCUAAAUAUCACCGCCACCGACGGCACCUUUGCCGCCAAGGCCGUGGUCGAGGUCAAAGUCCUGGACGCCAACGACAACAGCCCCGUUUGCGAGAAGUCCCUCUACACAGAGAGGGUCCCCGAGGACGUCCCAGCCGGAAGGCUCAUUCUGCAGGUCUCGGCCACGGACGCAGACAUCCGCUCCAACGCCCACAUCACCUACGAGCUCCAGGGACCGGGAGCCGAGCUCUUCACCAUCGACCCCGACACAGGUGAACUGAAGACCCAGCAGCCCCUGGACCGCGAGGAACAGGAGGAGUACCGCCUGACGGUGCGGGCACUAGACGGCGGCGGGCGCUACUGCGAGGCGGCCGUGCACCUGACCGUGGGGGACGUGAACGACAACGCGCCACAGUUCACCUCCGACCCAUACGCCAUCACCGUCUUCGAGAACACGGAGGUCGGCACCUUCGUGGCGCGGCUGCUCGCCACCGACCUCGACACCGGCUUGAACAGCAACAUCCUCUACUCCCUCGCCGACUCAGCCGACGGCCACUUCUCCGUGGACGAGCGUACCGGCGUCGUCGCGUUAAAAAAGCCCCUGGACCGCGAGGCGCGGGCCGUGUACGAGCUCAAAGCGCGCGCCUCCGACCAAGGCUCCCCCCGACGCCUUUCGUCCCUCUCCCGCGUCACGGUCUCCGUGCUGGACAUCAACGACAACCCGCCCGUGUUCGAGCACCGCGAGUACGUGGCGGGCGUUUCGGAGGACGUGGCGGUGGGCACGCAGCUGCUGAGAGUGCACGCCGCCAGCCGGGACAUCGAGGCCAACGGGGAGAUCGCCUACGCCAUCGUGAGCGGGAACGAGCACGGCAUGUUCAGUGUCGAUCCCCGGACUGGUGACAUCUUCGUCAUCGAGCCGCUGGACUUUGAGACGUCCCACGAGUACUACCUGACGGUGGAGGCCACGGACGGGGGCACGCCGCCGCUCAGCGACAUGGCCACGGUCAACAUCAACCUGACGGACGUCAACGACAACAGCCCCGCCUUCGGCCAGGCCACCUACGCCGCCGUGGUGGCCGAGGACGCAGAGCCCGGCAAGACGGUGGUGGCGGUGAUGGCGGAGGACGCAGACGGGCCAGCCUGUAACCACGUGCGUUACUCCAUCGUGGAGGGGAACCAGGGCAGUCCCUUCACCAUUGACCCAAUCAGGGGAGAGGUCAAAGUGGCACGCCAGCUAGACAGAGAGACGACAUCGGGAUACACCCUGACUGUGCUGGCGUCGGACAACGGCGUUCCGGCCCGCUCCAGCAGCGCCACGGUCAACAUCGACGUGUCUGACGUCAACGACAACCCGCCCCUCUUCUCCCCUGCCAACUACAGCCUCGUCAUCCAGGAGAAUCGUCCAAUGGGGACCACGGUUGUCCAGCUCAUUGUGACUGACCGGGACGCCACGCACAACGGGCCGCCGUUUGUCUUCGCCAUUAUCGACGGUAAUGAGGGCGGUGUGUUCGAGGUGAACCAACAGGGGGCGCUGUUGGUGGUGGAAGAGCUGAAGAGGAAAACCAAGGAGAACUACCUGCUGAAUGUCCAGGUGGCCGACAGCGGCAAGCCCCAGCUCCUCUCCACGGCCUACAUCAGCAUCCGGGUCAUCGACGAGAGUGUCUACCCGCCUGCCGUCUUCCCGCUGGACAUCUACAUCUCUGUCGCCGGCGAGGAGUACCCCGGCGGCGUGCUCGGCAAAAUCCACGCCACCGACCAGGACAUUUACGACACGCUAACGUACCGUCUCGCACCUUCAUCGUCCUCGGAUAACGGCGAAGACGCUCUGUUCGCCGUCUCCGCCGCGGACGGCAAAGUCAUCGCCCAGCGCCCACUCGACGUGGGCCACUACCCGCUCAACGUCACCGUCACCGACGGGCGCUUUUCGGCGACGGCCGACGUGAACGUGCACGUGCGCCAGGCGACACGCCAGGCGCUGGACAACUCCAUCGCCGUGCGCUUCGCCGCCAUCGCCCCAGAGGAGUUCGUCGGCGACUACUGGCGUAUGUUCCAGCGGGCGCUGAGGAACAUAGCGGGGGUGAGACGCAGCGAGGUGCAGCUGGUUAGUCUGCAGCCCUCGGAGCAGGGGACAGGAGACCUGGAUGUUCUACUGGCUCUGGAGAAGUCUGGGAGUCCCUACCAGCCACAGGAGGUGGUCUUCCGCAAGCUCAACUCGUCUGCGGCGGUCAUCGAGGAAAUGACGGGCGUGCGCAUCGUGCGCGUGGUCAAGAAGCUGUGCGCCGGCGUGGACUGCCCGCUGCGCUUCUGCGACGAGGUCAUCAGCCUGGACAGGGCGACCAUGUCCACCUAUAGCACGGCCCGCCUCAGCUUCGUCACGCCACGACACCAGCGCACGGCUACCUGCCAAUGUGAAGGUGGCAAAUGCCCCACGGUGAACAAGCUGUGUGAUGCCAGCCCCUGUCCAGAGGGCAUGGAGUGUGUGGCAGACCGGAAGGAGGCCAGGUAUAGCUGCGUGUGUCCAGAUGGUGGCAAGCAGGGCAAGUGCUCCGACGGCCAGUCCCUGACGUUCAGCGGGACGGGCUAUGUGAAGUACCGUUUGAUGGAGAAUGAGAAUAAGGAGGAGAUGAAGCUGUCCCUUAGGCUGAGGACCUUCUCCAGCCACGCCACCGUCAUGUACGCCAAGGGCACCGACUACAGCAUCCUGGAGAUUGUGAAUGGCCGCCUACAGUACAAGUUUGACUGCGGAAGCGGCCCGGGAAUCGUCUCUGUACACAGCACCCAGGUCAACGACGGCGACUGGCACACGGUCACCCUUGAGGUGGAUGGCAACUACGCCAAACUAGUCCUGGACCGCGUGCACGCCGCCUCAGGCACAGCGCCCGGUACUCUGCGCACACUCAACCUGGACAACAGCGUCUACUUCGGCGGGCACGUGCGCCAGCACGCCUCCUCUACCGCUGGGCGCCACGGUCGCAGCUUGCCCGUCACCAAUGGGCUCCGAGGCUGCGUGGAAGCCAUCGUGCUCAACGGCCAAGAAUUGCCGCUCAACACCAAGGCGCGUGGUGCCCACGCCGUGCUGGAGGACGUGGUGGACGUGGCGCCCGGGUGCGUGCUGGCGCCCGCCGCCGAGGGCUGCUCCAGCAACCCCUGCACCAACGGGGGCAGCUGCUCCUCACUGGCCAACGGAGGAUACUUCUGUAAGUGCAAGGCUUCGUUCAUGGGUACUCACUGUGAGAUUGGCAUCAGCCCAUGUGCCUCCAACCCCUGCCUGUACGGGGGAACCUGCGUUCCGCGCGGCGACGACCUCUACUGCCAGUGCAGAGGGCAGUACUCAGGACAACGGUGCCAGGUGGGGCCAUACUGCACAGACAACCCCUGUAAAAACAGUGGGAAGUGCAUUGACAGUCUGGAUGGUCCUGUGUGUGAGUGUGAACAGGGAUUCCAGGGUGACAGGUGCCUCAGUGAUGUGGACGAGUGCCUGAAGAACCCGUGCUCCAACGGCGGCCAAUGCCAGAACACCUACGGCUCGUAUUCCUGCAACUGCUCCCUGGGCAACAUCGGGCGGCUAUGCGAACUCCGCUCCGAGGUCCGCAACGAGUUCGUCUCCACCUCCUGGAACAUCGGUCUUGAAGAAGUCAUCGGUAUUGUCGUCUUUGUGGCCUCCAUUUUCCUCCUGGUCGUCCUCUUCGUGGUCAUCCGCAAGAGGGCGUGCCGAAGAAAGUCCAAGUCUAACGACGACAAGCGCAGCCCGGGAGGCUUAGGAGCGCCGCACUCCUUCCUCCAGCGACCCUACUUUGACGCAAAGCUUUGUAAGAACAUUUACUCUGACAUUCCGCCGCAGGUGCCUGUUCGGCCCAGCUCGUACACACCCAGCAUCCCCAGCGACUCACGCAACAACCUGGACCGCAACUCGUUCGAGGGCUCGGCCAUCCCCGAGCACCCCGAGUUCAGCACGUUCAACCCGGACACGAUGCACGGACACCGCAAGACGGUGGCCGUGUGCAGCGUGGCGCCCAACCUGCCUCCGCCGCCGCCCUCCAACUCGGUCUCCGACAGCGACUCCAUUCAGAAGCCCAGCUGGGACUAUGAAUAUGACGCUAAGGUAGUAGACUUGGAUCACUGUUUGACCAAAAAGCCAGUGGAGGACAGUGCCUGUCACUACAACACCAGGGGCAGCAUGUCUGAGGUCCAGUCCCUCAGCUCCUUCCAGUCCGAGUCCUGUGACGAUAACGGUAUGUAUCUGAACAGAAAUGGUCAACUUUGCCAGUUUAGGAAUAAAAGUCCUAAUACAUUGACUAGAUUUAUUUACACCCGAAGUGAACCAAGGAAGUUUGGUCGUCUUACACACCCAUAUUAACGUAUAUAUUCAAAUGUAGUUUUCCUUUGGUCUUAUCGACCCAUAGUUGUUCUUAAUAUAGAUCUAAAUAUGUCAUUUUAAUUUGGUUGUAUAGUUUCUGAAUUCUGAAGCGCUACAUCAGACUCAGUGGAAAAGCACACGUGGGCAUACUUGUGGAAAAGUCCUCUGGUUCUUGUACGACUGCAGUUCUUUGUAGAGUGGCCCCUUGGCUGUAGUUGACUUGUAUACAUGCUACGUGCUAAUCAUCUCUCUUUGCGUGCCGUGAUUGGCUGCAACGGUGACUCUCUGGGGUCAUGUGUUUUUUUUCUCUCUCCCUCUUUGCUGCGGGGCUUCAGUUCCCAUUUGGAUCAAAUCGGUUCACAGACCCAGAACACGGUUUUAACUAGGGGUCAGCGUCCUCCAUAGUGACGGUAAUCCACCUUGUCAACUCUGUUAUUGACUCGGUGGAAGGAGAAGAGUCUUUUUUGGCUCACGAUCUCAAGAACCCAAGAGGCUACCACUGGGACACAUCUGAUUGGAUGCCAAGUGUUCAACUUCCUGGAAUCCAGGAGUUCCCCCAGUAUGAGGUUGUGGAGUCCCCGACCCCCCUGUACAGUGACCCGAACGCCAUCGAUACUGACUACUACCCCGGCGGCUACGACAUCGAGAGCGACUUCCCGCCGCCUCCUGAGGACUUCCUCGCCCACGAGGACCUGCCCCCGCCGCCGCUGCCCGAGUAUGGCGACCGCUACGGCACCCUGGAACCACCCCGGAGGGACCUGGCGCCUCCUGGCAGCCCGGGUUCGAGUUUGUCCUCUGGUGUACGCCACCGCCCACCACUGCCCCAGCUCUAUAGCCUUAACCAGUACCUACCACACCACCACUAUCCCAGCGACGCUGAGGGCAGCCCGGGCUGCGGCGGCUCCACGGCUGCCACCACCACCCCGGCCUCCACCAUGGGCGGCGCCAGCAGCUACCGGGGCGGCUACCCCAUGGGGUACGGGCGGGGGGACUUUGAGGCGCCGGCGCUGGACAACAUGUCCAUGUCCCUGUACACGUCCACGGCCUCCUGCUCGGACAUGUCGGCGUGCUGCGAGGAGUCAGAAGUUAUGUUGAGCGACUAUGAGAGUGGUGACGAGGGACACUUUGAGCGGCUGGCCAUCCCCGCACUGGACUCCCAACAGCACACUGAAGUCUGACACUGGAUCCAAACAAAAGUGCCUGAACCCCCCCCCCCCCCCAUCUCUACCUUAUGUUAACCCCCUCUGCCUGUGUAUGUACACACUACAACUACACACAACACAAAGCGACACUGACACAGACACAUGUACACACUUCUACAUACACUCACAGAGCAAUGAAUUUGUUCACGUAAACAGGGGUUGUUGGGACUGGUCUUACUCUGAAGGCUGCUUGGCUGGGUGGCGGUGUCUUCAAGGAGAUAUCAUUUAACAGCACUGGACCCCAUAGCCUCCUCUAUCUACUCAGUCCAAUUCCUGCAGUACUGGAAAAAUACCCGUGUUUGAGUUGGCUGUGCGAUUGCUUUAAUAAGUAAAUGUCAAUUAUGCACAAGAAAUGUCUUGACGAAAAAUUACAUUGAUGUACAACUACGAAGAGAAAAAAAAGAAAACCAUUGACAACAACGAUCAUGAUAGAUAAAACACACACUACAAGGUGAUAUCUGUAUUUGUAGAGGUAAAACAGUGCAAACUGAUUUUUGAUACAAAUCCUCGUUCAUUUUCAAUGUAAAUUUAAAUGUACAGUUUUGAUUUCAAGGUUUACUAGGUUUUGUAGAUAUUUUAUGCUUUUAUUUACCCCCCCCAAAAAACACAUGUUAAAUGGUGUGCUACAUUAUCAGCCUUACUGUUCCUUCAUUCACAAGAAGAAAAAACUGAAACUUGUUUUUAUUUUAAUUUUUUUUAAGAAAGAAGAGCUCAGCUUUUCCAAAAACACCAUGUAUCCGUUGAAAGUUGAUCGUCUCCUGCUCAUUUCAAAAAGGGUCUUCGAUGAGCGACUGCAUAUUCUUGUGUUCUAUUUUUUGUUUGUUUGUAAAUGGCGACUUUGGAACCUCCUUUAUUUUUCCACCACGAAAAUGGGACCCGAUUAUAUUUAUAGUGCAAAGUUAUCCAUAGACACUUGACUUUUUCAGACGUCUAUGUGGGUGUGAGCAGUACUAUGGUCUUGUUAAGGUUUUUAUUGAAUACUGCCACUAGCUCACGCUUUCCUACUGGCAAUAAAUUAUUCAUAAAAAA